rnacentral:rRNA from 1 species
GACGAACGCUGGCGGCGUGCUUAACACAUGCAAGUCGAACGAUGAACCCGGAGCUUGCUCCGGUGGAUUAGUGGCGAACGGGUGAGUAACACGUGAGUAACCUGCCCUUGACUCUGGGAUAACUGCGGGAAACUGUAGCUAAUACCGGAUACGACCCUCGGCGGCAUCGCCAGGGGGUGGAAAGAAUUUCGGUCAAGGAUGGACUCGCGGCCUAUCAGCUAGUUGGUGAGGUAACGGCUCACCAAGGCGACGACGGGUAGCCGGCCUGAGAGGGUGACCGGCCACACUGGGACUGGGACACGGCCCAGACUCCUACGGGAGGCGGCAGUGGGGAAUAUUGCACAAGGGGCGCAAGCCUGAUGCAGCGACGCCGCGUGAGGGAUGACGGCCUUCGGGUUGUAAACCUCUUUCAGCACCGACGAAGCGCAAGUGACGGUAGGUGCAGAAGAAGGACCGGCCAACUACGUGCCAGCAGCCGCGGUAA